rnacentral:lncRNA from 1 species
UCUCUCUUUAUAUGUGAUCUCAUAGAUUCAAUUCUAUCUGGUAGUGAGAUAUACCAUGAUCUCUAUCAUAGGUAUCACUAAAAUUUCUUUCAAUAGGUCAGAACAAUUUCACUCGAACUCGACAAGGAUCAUUGAUCCCAAACGAUCUGAUUGAGCUCUCAUAAUCUAUUAGUGAUAUCCAGUAAUAUGUAGUGGCAACCUAGUAGAACUGAAAUAG